GAUGAACGCUGGCGGCGUGCCUAAUACAUGCAAGUCGAGCGAACGGACGAGAAGCUUGCUUCUCUGAUGUUAGCGGCGGACGGGUGAGUAACACGUGGAUAACCUACCUAUAAGACUGGGAUAACUUCGGGAAACCGGAGCUAAUACCGGAUAAUAUUUUGAACCGCAUGGUUCAAAAGUGAAAGACGGUCUUGCUGUCACUUAUAGAUGGAUCCGCGCUGCAUUAGCUAGUUGGUAAGGUAACGGCUUACCAAGGCAACGAUGCAUAGCCGACCUGAGAGGGGGAUCGGCCACACUGGAACUGAGACACGGUCCAGACUCCUACGGGAGGCAGCAGUAGGGAAUCUUCCGCAAUGGGCGAAAGCCUGACGGAGCAACGCCGCGUGAGUGAUGAAGGUCUGCGGAUCGUAAAACUCUGUUAUUAGGGAAGAACAUAUGUGUAAGUAACGGUGCACAUCUUGACGGUACCUAAGCAGAAAGCCACGGCUAACUACGU
rnacentral:rRNA from 1 species